rnacentral:tRNA from 1 species
UGGGAUAUAGCUCAGUUGGUAGAGCAUCUGACUGUUAAUCAGAGUGUCACAGGUUCGAUUCCUGUUAUCCCAG